rnacentral:tRNA from 1 species
CGUGAGAAAUUCAUUUGUGAAGAUUGGUUUCGGCCCUUUUGUUGAGUGUUUUUCGCUCUCUCAUGU